AUCGCAAAAGGAAAUGGUGUCUUCCUUCUCCAACCGCUAAAAGCUGAUGGCGCCUACAAAUUU
rnacentral:ncRNA from 2 species